rnacentral:rRNA from 1 species
AACGAACGCUGGCGGCAGGCCUAACACAUGCAAGUCGAGCGGUAAGGCCCUUUCGGGGGUACACGAGCGGCGAACGGGUGAGUAACACGUGGGUGACCUGCCCUCAGCUCUGGGAUAAGCCUGGGAAACCGGGGUCUAAUACCGGAUAUGACUCCAUGACGCAUGUUGUGGGGUGGAAAGCCUUGUGCGGCUGAGGAUGGGCCCGCGGCCUAUCAGCUUGUUGGUGGGGUGAUGGCCUACCAAGGCGACGACGGGUAGCCGGCCUGAGAGGGCGACCGGCCACACUGGGACUGAGACACGGCCCAGACUCCUACGGGAGGCAGCAGUGGGGAAUCUUGCGCAAUGGGCGAAAGCCUGACGCAGCGACGCCGCGUGAGGGAUGACGGGCCU